rnacentral:rRNA from 1 species
UGGGGAAUUUUGGACAAUGGGGGAAACCCUGAUCCAGCCAUCCCGCGUGUGCGAUGAAGGCCUUCGGGUUGUAAAGCACUUUUGGCAGGAAAGAAACGUCAUGGGUUAAUACCCCGUGAAACUGACGGUACCUGCAGAAUAAGCACCGGCUAACUACGUGCCAGCAGCCGCGGUAAUACGUAGGGUGCAAGCGUUAAUCGGAAUUACUGGGCGUAAAGCGUGCGCAGGCGGUUCGGAAAGAAAGAUGUGAAAUCCCAGAGCUCAACUUUGGAACUGCAUUUUUAACUACCGGGCUAGAGUGUGUCAGAGGGAGGUGGAAUUCCUCGUGUAGCAGUGAAAUGCGUAGAUAUGCGGAGGAACACCGAUGGCGAAGGCAGCCUCCUGGGAUAACACUGACGCUCAUGCACGAAAGCGUGGGGAGCAAACAGG